AACGUAGGUCGCAAGCGUUGUCCGGAAUUACUGGGUGUAAAGGGAGCGCAGGCGGGGAGAUAAGUUGGGAGUGAAAACUAUGGGCUCAACCCAUAAAUUGCUUUCAAAACUAUCUUUCUUGAGUAGUGCAGAGGUAGGCGGAAUUCCCAGUGUAGCGGUGGAAUGCGUAGAUAUCGGGAGGAACACCAGUGGCGAAGGCGGCCUACUGGGCACCAACUGACGCUGAGGCUCGAAAGUAUGGGUAGCAAACAGG
rnacentral:rRNA from 1 species